AGAGUUUGAUCAUGGCUCAGGAUGAACGCUAGCUACAGGCUUAACACAUGCAAGUCGAGGGGAAACGACAUCGAAAGCUUGCUUUUGAUGGGCGUCGACCGGCGCACGGGUGAGUAACGCGUAUCCAACCUGCCCACCACUUGGGGAUAACCUUGCGAAAGUAAGACUAAUACCCAAUGACGUCUCUAGAAGACAUCUGAAAGAGAUUAAAGAUUUAUCGGUGAUGGAUGGGGAUGCGUCUGAUUAGCUUGUUGGCGGGGUAACGGCCACCAAGGCGACGAUCAGGUAGGGGUUCUGAGAGGAACGGUCCCCCACGAUUGGAACUGAGACACGGUCCAAACUCCGUACGGGGAGCA
rnacentral:rRNA from 1 species